CUUUUUUUUUUUUUUAUUAUUUUCCCCUGGUCCUGGUCGCUCCGUGAGGUGAUGUUCAUCGCCAGUGUUUGGACAGGGGUCAGGCUCGGGCUGGGGUUUUGGCAGGCAGGGCGAUUUUUUUCAAGGCUUCUGGGAGUGGCGUUCCCAUGGAGCGCUCCCCUGGAAUGUGGUAUGGAAGUGGACAGUGUGUGAAGAUGAGCGGAGCUCACUCAUUUUCUGCUUGGGCACAGGGAUCGUGGAGGUAAUGUCACCUGGGGGACUAAAACUUCUACAUGUGCAGCGAGGGACGUAAUGGCAGUGAGGAAUGUGGAAAAGACUGAUAUGUUGGAAAAUGCUCUGUAAAACUUGGAAAAUGCUCUGUAAACUUUGAAAUUAAAUAAAAUAUGAAAUAAAAAGUAGUAGAAUA